rnacentral:rRNA from 1 species
UACAGAGGGGGCAAGCGUUAUUCGGAAUUAUUGGGCGUAAAGGGCGCGUAGGCGGCCUGGCAAGUGGAAGGUGAAAUCCCUCGGCUUAACCGAGGAACUGCCUCCCAAACUGCUUGGCUUGAGACCGGGAGAGGUGAGUGGAAUUCCCAGUGUAGCGGUGAAAUGCGUAGAUAUUGGGAGGAACACCAGUGGCGAAGGCGGCUCACUGGACCGGUACUGACGCUGAGGUGCGAAAGCGUGGGGAGCAAACAGG